rnacentral:lncRNA from 1 species
GUGCAGUUGAGUUGGUAAGGAAUAUACGCACGAGACAAGAGGUCUUGGGUUCGAAUCUCACACAUGCAAGAGGGAGGUCUACAGGAUUUCAAUUAUUUUUGAGUUGGAAAAACUGGGACUAAAGGGGUUUCUCAACAAGGUUUAAAACUCAUCUGUCUACUAGUGGUGGGGGCACGGGCUGCUCAGGCAUGAUCAUAAGGGGGCAUAGACUGCCAUCCACAGUCGUCGUGGGGCACAAGCCUCCGGGCAUGUCCAUUGUGGGGCGUGCGCGCGGAUGUGUGAAGGGCCGAGAAGUAAGGAAGAAAAAUGAAUAGGAGAGGAUGAAAAAAUAAAGAAAAAAACA